AUGGUUUUGGUGUUAAUAAAAAAAAAAAAAAUCUGUAAUUAUCAGUUUAAUAUCUGAUACAUCCCCAACCCGGGGACUGCAUAUUAAAUUGAUUUUUGGAUCCCAGAGCUGGAGCUGGAGCCGGAGCCGGGGCUUGCUCUGUCCAUUGUAUGUAUCGGCCUGGUAUUGCAGUGUCUCCAGGAACAUGAGAUGAUUAUA
ensembl:snRNA U2 U2 spliceosomal RNA